rnacentral:rRNA from 1 species
CGGGACACGUGGUAUCCUGUCUGAAUAUGGGGGGACCAUCCUCCAAGGCUAAAUACUCCUGACUGACCGAUAGUGAACCAGUACCGUGAGGGAAAGGCGAAAAGAACCCCGGCGAGGGGAGUGAAAAAGAACCUGAAACCGUGUACGUACAAGCAGUGGGAGCACGCUUAGGCGUGUGACUGCGUACCUUUUGUAUAAUGGGUCAGCGACUUAUAUUCUGUAGCAAGGUUAACCGAAUAGGGGAGCCGAAGGGAAACCGAGUCUUAACUGGGCGUUAAGUUGCAGGGUAUAGACCCGAAACCCGGUGAUCUAGCCAUGGGCAGGUUGAAGGUUGGGUAACACUAACUGGAGGACCGAACCGACUAAUGUUGAAAAAUUAGCGGAUGACUUGUGGCUGGGGGUGAAAGGCCAAUCAAACCGGGAGAUAGCUGGUUCUCCCCGAAAGCUAUUUAGGUAGCGCCUCGUGAAUUCAUCUCCGGGGGUAGAGCACUGUUUCGGCAAGGGGGUCAUCCCGACUUACCAACCCGAUGCAAACUGCGAAUACCGGAGAAUGUUAUCACGGGAGACACACGGCGGGUGCUAACGUCCGUCGUGAAGAGGGAAACAACCCAGACCGCCAGCUAAGGUCCCAAAGUCAUGGUUAAGUGGGAAACGAUGUGGGAAGGCCCAGACAGCCAGGAUGUUGGCUUAGAAGCAGCCAUCAUUUAAAGAAAGCGUAAUAGCUCACUGGUCGAGUCGGCCUGCGCGGAAGAUGUAACGGGGCUAAACCAUGCACCGAAGCUGCGGCAGCGACGCUGAUGCGUUGUUGGGUAGGGGAGCGUUCUGUAAGCCUGUGAAGGUGUGCUGUGAGGCAUGCUGGAGGUAUCAGAAGUGCGAAUGCUGACAUAAGUAACGAUAAAGCGGGUGAAAAGCCCGCUCGCCGGAAGACCAAGGGUUCCUGUCCAACGUUAAUCGGGGCAGGGUGAGUCGACCCCUAAGGCGAGGCCGAAAGGCGUAGUCGAUGGGAAACAGGUUAAUAUUCCUGUACUUGGUGUUACUGCGAAGGGGGGACGGAGAAGGCUAUGUUGGCCGGGCGACGGUUGUCCCGGUUUAAGCGUGUAGGCUGGUUUUCCAGGCAAAUCCGGAAAAUCAAGGCUGAGGCGUGAUGACGAGGCACUACGGUGCUGAAGCAACAAAUGCCCUGCUUCCAGGAAAAGCCUCUAAGCAUCAGGUAACAUCAAAUCGUACCCCAAACCGACACAGGUGGUCAGGUAGAGAAUACCAAGGCGCUUGAGAGAACUCGGGUGAAGGAACUAGGCAAAAUGGUGCCGUAACUUCGGGAGAAGGCACGCUGAUAUGUAGGUGAAGCGACUUGCUCGUGGAGCUGAAAUCAGUCGAAGAUACCAGCUGGCUGCAACUGUUUAUUAAAAACACAGCACUGUGCAAACACGAAAGUGGACGUAUACGGUGUGACGCCUGCCCGGUGCCGGAAGGUUAAUUGAUGGGGUCAGCGCAAGCGAAGCUCUUGAUCGAAGCCCCGGUAAACGGCGGCCGUAACUAUAACGGUCCUAAGGUAGCGAAAUUCCUUGUCGGGUAAGUUCCGACCUGCACGAAUGGCGUAAUGAUGGCCAGGCUGUCUCCACCCGAGACUCAGUGAAAUUGAACUCGCUGUGAAGAUGCAGUGUACCCGCGGCAAGACGGAAAGACCCCGUGAACCUUUACUAUAGCUUGACACUGAACAUUGAGCCUUGAUGUGUAGGAUAGGUGGGAGGCUUUGAAGUGUGGACGCCAGUCUGCAUGGAGCCGGCCUUGAAAUACCACCCUUUAAUGUUUGAUGUUCUAACGUUGACCCGUGAUCCGGGUUGCGGACAGUGUCUGGUGGGUAGUUUGACUGGGGCGGUCUCCUCCUAAAGAGUAACGGAGGAGCACGAAGGUUGGCUAAUCCUGGUCGGACAUCAGGAGGUUAGUGCAAUGGCAUAAGCCAGCUUGACUGCGAGCGUGACGGCGCGAGCAGGUGCGAAAGCAGGUCAUAGUGAUCCGGUGGUUCUGAAUGGAAGGGCCAUCGCUCAACGGAUAAAAGGUACUCCGGGGAUAACAGGCUGAUACCGCCCAAGAGUUCAUAUCGACGGCGGUGUUUGGCACCUCGAUGUCGGCUCAUCACAUCCUGGGGCUGAAGUAGGUCCCAAGGGUAUGGCUG